UAGCUUAAUGGUAAAGCACCCAACCAGCAAUUGGGGGAUCUGGGUUCAAGUUUCAG
rnacentral:tRNA from 1 species